rnacentral:rRNA from 1 species
UGGUGGAUAGCUUGGUUUGGGAAGCCGAAGAAGGCCGUGGCAAGCUGCGAAAAGCACAAGGUAGGCGCACGCAGCCUUUGAACUUGUGAUUGCCUAAUGGGUCUUCCUUCUCUCUUCGGAGAGAGGUCCGAGAGGAUCGGGAACCCGCUGAAUUGAAACAUCUUAGUAAGCGGAGGAAAAGAAACCAAUAGGGAUGCCGUUAGUAGGGGCGACCGAAAGCGGCAAAGGGCGUACUGAAUUCCUUUUGGUAACAAAAGGAAGAUGUGGGUUGUUCAACAACCAUUUUAGGCUUUACAAAGUGCUCUGGAAAGGGCUGCCGAAGAGGGUGAUAGCCCCGUAGUAAUGUCUAAAGUGGUUGGAACAACAAAGAGUAAUGCAGGUUGGGAUUCCUGCAUGAAGAUGGGUGUCAGCAACAUCCAACCCUAAAUACUUCCCAAGACCGAUAGCGUACCAGUACCGUGAGGGAACGCUGAAAAGCUCCCGUAGCAGGGAGUGAAAAGAGCUUGAAACCAAAAGGUAAUAGUAAGAUGCGGCCCUUAGGGGUUGCAUCGUCCGUUUUGAAAAACGGGCCGGCGAGUUUACUUCUGUGGCAAGCCUAAUCUUAAAAAGAGGAGGCGUAGCGAAAGCGAGAAGCCUGCAGCGUUGAGCGAGAGGCGACGUGUGCUCGCGUUAAAGUCACAGGAGUAAGACCUGAAGCCUGACGAGCUAAGCCAGACCAGGCUGAAGCUCGGGUAAAACCGAGUGGAGGGCCGAAGAGGUUCUGCACAUACGCGUUCUUCUGUGUCUGGUUUAGGAGUGAUAUGCUCAUCGAGUCAGGCGCUAGCUGGUUCCCACAGAAACAAGCCAAAGUUUGGCCUCGACAGAGCUAUCAUAAGGGGUAGAGUACAGAUUGUGGAAUUGGGGCUUCGGCUUCGUUCCACUGUCUAACUCCGAAUCCUUAUGAAGCAAAGAAGUCGGGAGUAAGUAAGCGCGGUUAAGCUGCGUGGGCGAGAGGGAAACAACCCAAAGAGUGGUUAAGGCCCUAAAGAGCUAACUGAGUGCAAAGAAGGACUCCUUUGUCGUAGACAGCUGGGGCGUAGGCUUAGAAGCAGCCAUCGCCUAAGCAACGCGUAACAGCGGACCAGUUGAGACAUUGGGGUUCGUAAAUGGACGGGGCUAAGUUAGCCGCCGAUACCACUCCCAUCCGAAAGGAUAGGGGUAUGUGGGCGCGACCGUAGGGCAGAAGCACGUUCGUGAGAAUGUGUGGACCUAUGGCCGAUGUGAAUGCCGGUGUAAGUAGAAGCUAAGCAUGGUGAGAAACCAUGCCAGCGGAAGGGCCAGGUUUUCUCGGCACUGCUCGUCAACCGAGAGUUAGCCGGUCCUAAGUCUUGUGCUUAACUGUGCAAGACGAAAGGGAAGUCCUUUAAUAAUAGGACGCUAUCGAGUCGCGUGCGGCGACGCAAGUUGUUUGCCGAAACUUCGGGAUAAGCUAAGGCACACUGUCGUGUGCUUUAAGCGCCGAAGUCUGAGGAAUUCCGUAAUGGAUAGAAUCAGAUGAAAGCGCGAAUAGCGCUCGCAAGAGCGUUUAGCCAAUUCCUGGAGUCGGUGAAAAGGCAAACAAAAGUGGCUCGAUAACCGUACUCAGAACCGACACAGGUGACCCUGGCCGAAUAAGCCGAGCUGUGACGGGUUGACCCCUUCCAAGGGAACUCGGCAAAUUAGCCGCGUAUCUUCGGUAGAAGCGGUCUCUGCGACACUGCUGUGAAAUAUCAGUGGAGUUGCAGGGUGCAAUGACAAGGGGGGUCCGACUGUUUAACAAAAACGUAGCUAAGCGCAAAGUCUAAACGGCUUUGUACGCUUGGUGAUUCCUGCCCAGUACGGUUACCUGAAACUCCGGUCCAACGGAGCCAAGGGUCCGUAAACGGCGGAGGUAACUCUGACCUUCUUAAGGUAGCGAAAUGCCUUGUCACUUAAUUGGUGACGUGCAUGAAGGGCUAACGAGAUCCCCACUGUCCCUGGAAGGAACCCGACGAAUUUUCUCUUCUGGCGAACAGGCCAGAGACCUCCAGCGGGAAAUGAAGACCCCGUAGACCUUUACUGCAGCCUGUUGCUGUGGUUUGUUUGAGGUUGCAUAGAGUAGCUGGGACCCGUUUGCAGCCCUUUCUUUCGGGGAAGGGUGAGGGGAAAGUGUAACACCAGCCUUCUUUAGGCAAAUCACUUACCCUUCGGGGGACACCUUCAGGUGGGCAGUUUUGCUGGGGCGGCAACCUUCCGAAAAGGCAUCGGCAGGAUCUAAUGAUCGGCUCACCAGGCUUGGAAACCCUGGGUAGAGGACAAGGCUAAAAGCCGGUCUGACUCGGAUCUAACCAGCGAGGAUCCGAGACGCGAAAGCGAGGCCUAGCGAACAUAGGCGUCACUUUUGCUGAGCGCCCUAUCUGAUAGAAAAGGUACCUCGGGGAUAACUGAGUCGUGCCGAGCAAGAGUACACAUCGACCUCGGCGCUUGCUUCUUCGCUGUCGGCUUUGCCUAGCUUGGCUGUGUACAAGCAGCCAAGAGUGCAGGUGUUCACUGAUUAAAAGGCAUCAUGAGCUGGGUUCACAACGUCGUGAGACAGUUGGUGUACAAUCUGCUGGAGGUGCAAAGGGUCUGAGAGCAAGGCAGUUUAAGUACGAAAGGAACAAACUGUCCGCGCCUCUGGUGUACGGGCUGUCUGAUAAGGCAGGCCCGGCAGCUACGCGCGAAGGGAUAAGCUCUGAAAGCAUCUAAGAGCGAAGCCCAUCUCAAAAAGAGACCCGAGGAGCUGCUCUAGAUGAGAGCGUUGAUAGGAUCGGAGUGUA